UACGAAGGGGGCUAGCGUUGCUCGGAAUCACUGGGCGUAAAAGGUGCGUAGGCGGGUCUUUAAGUCAGGGGUGAAAUCCUUGAGCUCAACUCCAGAACUGCCUUUGAUACUGAGGAUCUUGAGUUCGGGAGAGGUGAGUGGAACUGCGAGUGUAGAGGUGAAAUUCGUAGAUAUUCGCAAGAACACCAGUGGCGAAGGCGGCUCACUGGCCCGAUACUGACGCUGAGGCACGAAAGCGUGGGGAGCAAACAGG
rnacentral:rRNA from 1 species